GAGAGGAGAGGAAAUCAAACUUAUAGAGACUUCUUGUCUGGAUUUGUGUGUGUGUGUGUGUGUGUGUGUGUGUGUGUGUGUGUGUGUGUGUGUGUGUGUGUGUGUGUGUUGGUUUUUGACAGAGACUGCUGAUGAGAGAUUUAGAGUGGGAGUCCAGAUUCAGCUCAGAGAUGGGGGGCUUGAGGCAUAAUCUAGCCCGUGUGUGUGUGUGUGUCUCACACUGGUGUGAUGUGCUGGCCGGCGGUGUGACGUGUUUGAAGGCUUCCAGACUGUGUUGGGAGACGCCGCAGAGAUGAGAACAUCAAACGAACUGACGCUACCAUGGCAACACAGACAGACAGACAGACGGAUGGAGGAACAGUCAGACAGACAGACGCAGGCAGACAGACAGACAGACGGAUGGAGGAACAGUCAGACAGACAGACACGCAGGCAGACAGACAGACGGAUGGAGGAACAGUCAGACAGACAGACAGACGGAGGAACAGUCAGACAUGCUCAGACAUGCUCAGUUGGUAGAGCAUGGUGUUUGCAAUGCCAGGGUUGUGGGUUCGAUUCCCACGGGGGGCCAGUACGAAAAAAAUUAAAAAAUGUAUGAAAUGUAUGCAUUCACUACUGUAAGUCGCUCUGGAUAAGAGCGUCUGCUAAAUGACUAAAAUGUAAAUGUAAAAAAUGAGGAACAGUUUUGAGUUCAAUUUAUCUCUAUGUUGACCUCUAUUGACCUUUAUGUUGACCUCUAUUGACCUUUAUGUUUGAGUCAAAUACACAAAAGACCCAGUAAGUUAGUCAGCAACUGAUAAAAUCUUUAUCCAGGCAAAGAGUUGAAACAGAGGGUUUUGUUGCAGUGAACUGAAGACACAGGGAUAUGUUUACAUUAGGAUGUGGGAUUGAUUAUCGUGUUCUAUAAAUGUUUUAUAUGUUUCUGACCAAGGCUACAGAGAUGGUCCUGCACCAUAUACAUGGCUACAUCACGCAGAACACCACAAUGCUGUAACACUCUAUACCGCAGUGUGAUUUAGGCUUUGUAGCAGCAUGAUUGUUGGAUAAGGGUUAGGAUUGUCUUUGAUGUCCAUGACAGAAGCAGUUUAAAUAAGUAAAACAGCACAAAGCACAUUUUAUAUAAUACAUACAUAAUAUUUCUACCUGCGUUAUUCAGACCUGGCCUUGGAUAAAGUAACCAUACCAUCCCAUCUUUUUACAAUUUUACGGUUCUUUUCAUCAUUUGAUCACUGCGUGUGUUUAAGUGUUUGAGGAAAAUGGCAGACAAAGCGUGUUUAAUCGUUUGAGGAAAAUGGCAGACGUAGUGUUCUGAUUUAGUAUCUGUAUGCUAUUCAAUAUUAAAUGUCAAUGAGUUGUUGUUUGUUGUAAACUGUGUGUUUUGAAGAGGCAUGCUGGUUUGGUGGAGACAGGAGAGAGUGUGUUUUAUGUCAAUAACAGUGUGUUUUUGUAAUGAGGCUUUAAGUGCUGUUCUGUAGGAGUAAAAUAACCAAACACACAUGCUUUUAAACCUUCAUGACUGACUGACUGACUGAUUAUUUCAGUUUGUUACCCACACAGGUGCCCAGCCCAUAAUAUAAUUAGUAUUGACAGAAUGUCCUCAUUGGCUGAUAUGUACUGCGUC
rnacentral:lncRNA from 1 species